rnacentral:rRNA from 1 species
CCUACGGGCGGCAGCAGUGAGGAAUAUUGGUCAAUGGACGAGAGUCUGAACCAGCCAAGUAGCGUGAAGGAUGACUGCCCUAUGGGUUGUAAACUUCUUUUAUAUGGGAAUAAAAUGUUCCACGUGUGGGAUUUUGUAUGUACCAUAUGAAUAAGGAUCGGCUAACUCCGUGCCAGCAGCCGCGGUAAUACGGAGGAUCCGAGCGUUAUCCGGAUUUAUUGGGUUUAAAGGGAGCGUAGGUGGAUGGUUAAGUCAGUUGUGAAAGUUUGCGGCUCAACCGUAAAAUUGCAGUUGAAACUGGCAGUCUUGAGUACAGUAGAGGUGGGCGGAAUUCGUGGUGUAGCGGUGAAAUGCUUAGAUAUCACGAAGAACUCCGAGUGCGAAGGCAGUUCACUGGACUGCAACUGACACUGAGGCUCGAGAGUGUGGGUAUCAAACAGGAUUAGAUACCCUUGUAGUC